CCUACGGGAGGCAGCAGUGAGGAAUAUUGGUCAAUGGACGCAAGUCUGAACCAGCCAUGCCGCGUGCAGGAAGACGGCUCUAUGAGUUGUAAACUGCUUUUGUACGAGGGUAAAUCCCGAUACGUGUAUCUGGUUGAAAGUAUCGUACGAAUAAGGAUCGGCUAACUCCGUGCCAGCAGCCGCGGUAAUACGGAGGAUUCAAGCGUUAUCCGGAUUUCUUGGGUUUAAAGGGUGCGUAGGCGGUUCGAUAAGUUAGAGGUGAAAGCCCGGGGCUCAACUCCGGCACUGCCUUUGAUACUGUCGGGCUAGAGUUUAGUUGCGGUAGGCGGAAUGUAUGGUGUAGCGGUGAAAUGCAUAGAGAUCAUACAGAACACCGAUUGCGAAGGCAGCUUACCAAACUACGACUGACGUUGAGGCUCGAAAGCGCGGGUAUCGAACAGGAUUAGAUACCCCAGUAGUC
rnacentral:rRNA from 1 species